rnacentral:rRNA from 1 species
AGUGAACGCUGGCGGUAGGCCUAACACAUGCAAGUCGAACGGCAGCACAGUAAGAGCUUGCUCUUACGGGUGGCGAGUGGCGGACGGGUGAGGAAUACAUCGGAAUCUACUUUUUCGUGGGGGAUAACGUUGGGAAACUUACGCUAAUACCGCAUACGACCUACGGGUGAAAGCGGGGGAUCUUCGGACCUUGCGCGAUUGAAUGAGCCGAUGUCGGAUUAGCUAGUUGGCGGGGUAAAGGCCCACCAAGGCGACGAUCCGUAGCUGGUCUGAGAGGAUGAUCAGCCACACUGGAACUGAGACACGGUCCAGACUCCUACGGGAGGCAGCAGUGGGGAAUAUUGGACAAUGGGCGCAAGCCUGAUCCAGCCAUACCGCGUGGGUGAAGAAGGCCUUCGGGUUGUAAAGCCCUUUUGUUGGGAAAGAAAAGCAGCAGGUUAAUACCCCGCUGUUCUGACGGUACCCAAAGAAUAAGCACCGGCUAACUUCGUG